GCACCCGUAGCUCAGCUGGAUAGAGCACCGGACUUCGAAUCCGGGAGUCGCUGGUUCGAAUCCAGCCGGGUGCACCA
rnacentral:tRNA from 1 species